AACGAACGCUGGCGGCAGGCUUAACACAUGCAAGUCGAACGCCCCGCAAGGGGAGCGGCAGACGGGUGAGUAACGCGUGGGAACAUACCCUUUUCUACGGAAUAGCUCUGGGAAACUGGAAUUAAUACCGUAUACGCCCUACGGGGGAAAGAUUUAUCGGGGAAGGAUUGGCCCGCGUGGGAUUAGCUAGUUGGUGGGGUAAAGGCCUACCAAGGCGACGAUCCAUAGCUGGUCUGAGAGGAUGAUCAGCCACAUUGGGACUGAGAAACGGCCCAAACUCCUACGGGAGGCAGCAGUGGGGAAUAUUGGACAAUGGGCGCAAGCCUGAUCCAGCCAUGCCGCGUGAGUGAUGAAGGCCUUAGGGUUGUAAAGCUCUUUCACCGAUGAAGAUAAUGACGGUAGUCGGAGAAGAAGCCCCGGCUAACUUCGUGCCAGCAGCCGCCGUAAUAC
rnacentral:rRNA from 1 species